AUGGAAGCUUUACCAGUAAGAUUUGGUUUUGAUUCUGAUAAGGUUAUUCCCUUGCCUCUCAUCUUUAACAGGCAUACAUUCCCUCCACACAUGAUUUACAAUGUGGAUGAAACAGGCAUCUUUACAGUACAAAAGCCACAGCAGGUUGUGACAGAGAAAGGAAAAAAGCAAGUUGGUUCUGGCACAUCAGCUGAGAGAGGAGAACUGGUGACUGUGGUGUGUGCAGUGAAUGCUGCUGGAAAUGCCACACCUCCCAUGUUUAUCUUCCCCAGAGUUAAGUUUAAGGACUGCUUCAUGAUAGGAGCACCCCCAGGAGCCAAAGGUACCUCCACCAGAACAGGAUGGAUGAAUGAAGACACCUGGGCUGAGUUCCUUGAUCACCUGAUACAGCACACUAACUGCACCCCUGACCAUCCCAUGCUGUUAAUCCUGGAUAAUCUUAAGGCUCACAUCUCACUCAAGGCAGUAGAAAUAGCCAAGAGCAACGGUAUUGUUCUGCUCACCCUCCCACCCCACACAUCCCAUCGCAUGCAGCCUCUCGACGUGACCGUGUAUGGCCCGUUCAAGACCCAAUACAGCCGAGCACUUGAUGGGUGGAUGAGAUCCAACCCUGGCAAAACAGUCUCGAUCUACCAGAUUGCAGGACUUGUGAAUGAGGCCUUCAUGUCAGCAGUGACACCACGCAACAUCACUUCUGGAUUUAGGUCCACUGGGAUUUUCCCAUACAACCGAGACACUUUCCCUGAUAAAGCGUUUGCACCAUCUAUGGUGUCAGACCGGCCAAACCCUGAGCUGCAGCCUGCGAGUGCAAAUGAUCCCGAUGGUCCAUCCCCUGCAGAUGAUCCACCUGCAGAUGAACCACCCGCUGCAGAUAAUUCACUCACUGAUGCUAAUCCAUCCACUGCGCAUGGUCCACAUGGAUGUACCUCACCAGCUGACUCAGAUGUGCCGUGUGUUCCCAGCCAACCUGGAUAUGUGUCUCCUCGUGAAAUUCUACCACUUCCCAAAUGUCCCCCCAGAACACAAACCAAACGAAAGCGUGUGAAGACAGCCAUCCUAACUGAUACUCCUGAGAAGCAGGCAAUUGAAAAGGCUUAUAAAGAAAGACAAAAGAAACUGGCAGGGAAAAAGCAAAAUAGUAAAGAAAAGGGAAAACCGAAAAAGAAAGCAACCAAAAAGAAAAUCAUAGUUAGCAGCUCUGAGGAGAGUGAUGUCCCUGUCCCAAUUGAUAAUGUGUCUGAUGAAGAGAGCUCUGAGGAUGAGAGAAGUGAUCCAGGAAACACAGAUCUGUCCGUGGGUGACUUUGUCAUAGUUAACUUUGCAACCAAACUCAGGAGCAUCCGUUACAUUGGCAUGGUUGAGAAAGUUGAGGAUGACGAAAUACUUGCACAAUUUCUCAGAAGAAUCCAGGGAAACACAAAAGAGUGGGAGAGACCCACAUUUGCUAUAAAGGAAAAUGAUGUGGCACAUGUUCCUAAAAGUGAUGUGGUGAAGAAGCUGCCUCAACCUAAAAGGCCUGGAGGAACCACACGGAGAGAGCAACUCCUCAUCUUUCCCUGUAACCUUCAGGGCUGGAAUGUAGAGUAAGCCUAGUUGUAAAGUAUGACAGUAGGCUGAUGUUCUAAUCCAGGUGGGUCUAGUCCUGUGUUCUGAGUCCCAGGCUGUUCUAGCUGGGUCUGAUUGUCCUUUGCUCUGACCCCCCAGACACUAGCUGGCUCUAAGGGUCCUGUGUUCUGACCCCCAGACUGUGUUCUAAUCUAACUGGUUCUAUCUGUCAUUUGAAUGUUAAUUAAAACAUUUUGAAUUAUAUUAGCCAAUGUUCUUUUUGAUUUUGUUCAGAGUGUGCUUAAUUGACCAAUCCCCAUGAUUCUGUUACUAGUCCGACAUUAGUUCUGGAAUGUGUGGUUGUCAAGCUAGCUGUCAGGAUUCUAACUGUUACAAUGUGUUGUUAUGGUAGUUUCAGAGUGGAAAAAGUAAGUGGAUCAGUUUACCCCGAGCUGGUUCACUUUACCCCCUCGAUUUUUCUGGUCUGUCUCAGUUUACCCCUAAGCUGGGGUAAAGUGAGACACAAGACAACUUUUUAAAAAACAAUCAUAUUUUCACUGCCCUUCGUCCUGAAUACAUUCCAAUAAUUUCCAUUGCUAGGAAAUACCCUGAAUUAAUGGGAAAUGUGUAAAUUUUACUGAUAUAUCAUUUUAGCUCGGUUAUAGGGGAGAUGUCUCACUUUACCCCACUCUCCCCUAUAAAAAUAUUAAUGCUGACAGAUUUAAUAAUUUAAUCUGCAAUUAGGGAAAGUGGAGAGAAGAGAUCCAGUCUGGAGAUGAGCAGGAACAGUUUAUUUGCAUGGCAGACAUGGAGAUCCAGAUUUUUUUGUUUGUUCAUAUGUUUUUAAUAUUCAACAGGCAAAGUUCUUCUAUAUCUAAAUGCAAAAAUGUUCAUAAUUGUUUGAAUAAAACAGACUACAGGGGGAAAAAUCUGAAUAUUUAUCUUGUGACCAUAUUUUGAUUAUUUUAACAAAAGCAACAUAUAUAUAUAUAUAUAUAUAUAUAUAUAUAUAUAUAUAUAGGUCAGUGGCCCUUGGCUUGGUACCGUUGGCAGAAUUCGGCCCUCGAUGAAAACUAAUUGAGGAACCCUGGCCUAUGCUAUAAUUUUUUAGAAAUGGCUGCAUAACGGAUUUUCCGUUUAUGGUAUGGAAGAAAAUGUUAAUCUAAAGAUUUUUCCGUUUUAAUGUUGAAGGAUGUGUCCAUAAAUUUAAUAGAAAAUGUCCUGGUAAUUUUCUGCCAGUACAUUAUCCGUUUUUUUACGGAAUCUUUUUUAACAGUGUAUAUCUUUUAAUAUAUUACAUUAAAUAUAUAUUAUCACAAAUAGUACAUAGACAAAUAAUACCCUUCUUCAUUUGGCUUCUGUAAGUUUUAAGCUAGGCGGAGACCAAUUUCUUAGAAAUAUGUCCACAUGAGCCCGAAUCUAUAUAAUUAUACUUACUUGAUGUAAAUAUAAUUCUGACCAUGUGUAAAGUCCAUCUUUCCCCAGGUAAUUUCUUAUUUUUUGUUACUUUGACAACAUUAGUUUUGUUUGGUGGCCACAUGCAUUCAUUAUUUCUG
rnacentral:lncRNA from 12 species